rnacentral:rRNA from 1 species
CGAACGGGUGAGUAACACGUGAGUAACCUGCCCCAGAGUGGGGGACAACAGUUGGAAACGACUGCUAAUACCGCAUAAGCCCACGGAACCGCAUGGUUCAGAGGGAAAAGGAGCAAUUCGCUUUGGGAUGGACUCGCGUCCGAUUAGCUAGAUGGUGAGGUAACGGCCCACCAUGGCGACGAUCGGUAGCCGGACUGAGAGGUUGAUCGGCCACAUUGGGACUGAGACACGGCCCAA